CCUACGGGUGGCAGCAGUGGGGAAUAUUGGGCAAUGGGCGCAAGCCUGACCCAGCAACGCCGCGUGAAGGAAGAAGGCUUUCGGGAUGGAAACUUCUUUUCUCAGGGACGAAGCAAGUGAUGGUACCUGAGGAAUAAGCCACGGCUAACGACGGGCCAGCAGCCGCGGCAAUACGUAGUUGGCAAGCGUUAUCCGGAUUUACUGGGUGUAACGGGCGGGUAGGCGGGACUGCAAGUCAGAUGUGAAAACCAUGGGCUCAACCUGUGGCCUGCAUUUGAAACUGUAGUUCUUGAGUACUGGAGAGGCAGGCGGAAUUCCUAGUGUAGCGGUGAAAUGCGUAGAUAUUAGGCGGAACACCAGUGGCGAAGGCGGUCUGCUGGACAGCAACUGACGCUGAGGCGCGAAAGCGUGGGGAGCAAACAGGAUUAGAUACCCGAGUAGUC
rnacentral:rRNA from 1 species